rnacentral:misc_RNA from 1 species
AGGCAUGGACAUUGUGAAGUUGAUCGAGUCCCAGGAGACUGAUAGGGGUGACCGUCCAAGGAAGAGGGUUGUCAUCAGUGACUGUGGUGAGCUACCUAUAGUUUGAGGCGAGAAUAUAACUGUUUAGCACUUCAUCUUUGCACACAAUGGAUAUAUGGACCGUUGUGAGAUAUAGAGCAUAUUCAGUAGUGAGUUUUCAUCCAAAUCCCAGGCUUUUUUUCUUCUUCUUUUUCUGGGUUUGUUGGAUUUCAAAUUACAGGGUAAAAAGUUCUUGCUAGAAGCGACUACGAUGUUUUCCUGUUAACGUGGAUGUAUGCAAUUUCAGUUAACAUUGAAUAUUGAUGGGAUGGUAAGAGACUAUUGUUGCUUUU